GACGAACGCUGGCGGCGUGCUUAACACAUGCAAGUCGAACGGAAAGGCCCUGCUUUUGUGGGGUGCUCGAGUGGCGAACGGGUGAGUAACACGUGAGUAACCUGCCCUUGACUUUGGGAUAACUUCAGGAAACUGGGGCUAAUACCGGAUAGGAGCUCCUGCUGCAUGGUGGGGGUUGGAAAGUUUCGGCGGUUGGGGAUGGACUCGCGGCUUAUCAGCUUGUUGGUGGGGUAGUGGCUUACCAAGGCUUUGACGGGUAGCCGGCCUGAGAGGGUGACCGGCCAGAUUGGGAAUGAGAUACGGCACAGACUCCUACGGGAGGCAGCAGUGGGGAAGAUUGCACAAUGGGCGGAAGCCUGAUGCAGCAACGCCGCGUGCGGGAUGACGGCCUUCGGGUUGUAAACCGCUUUCGCCUGUGACGAAGCGUGUGUGACGGUAAUGGGUAAAGAAGCACCGGCUAACUACGUG
rnacentral:rRNA from 1 species